AUGGGGUGUUAGGUGAAUUAUUUAGUAAAUGAUUAUCAAAAAAAAAUAUUUAACUAUAAACAUUGCAUGAUAAACAGUAUUCCUCUGAUCUUAAUAAUUGUCAUAAGAUGGUGGGGGGGUGGCUCAUGCCUGUAAUCCCAGCACUUUGGGAGGCUGAAGC